GACAAACCUUCAGUAAGAAAUCACACGUAUUCUGUCGCAAUCUCCAAACAUUUUCCAUCAGAGCAUAACUUCUCUUCACAAUCGAAAUGUGAACCUCAUCUUCCCUGUGUGAUUGGGAAGUAGCCUAUAUAUGCCACAAAUGGAGAAAUUAAGGCAGCAAAAGAUACUGGACUUGCGCCAAGGCAUAUUAGCAAGCCUGCAGCACAGCACUGGCUACAUCUCAGGGGUCCUAACAUAAGAAAGCCCUGUAAUAGAUAACAUUCCCUGUAAUUAAAAAAAAGUUAUAGAAUAUUUGUUAAACAGCUUCAUUCUCUUCAUCUGUCAACUAAACAACAUCAAAAUACAAACACUACAGGCAGCAAAGACUGCAUCCAAAGUCAGCAAGAGCCUAGAAGGGCAAACAGCAACACUAGUGCAUCGCAGGCUAGGUAACUGUCCAGAGAUAAUGCAGGACUGAUACUGUUUUUGAAGGGGUUUGAAACUCUACUUUGAAGAGAAGUGUUGUGAAACUCUGUCCAAAUCCCUCCUCCCAUAAUCACCACCAACAAUGAACAGCAGCUAACACAGCAAACAUCUUUUAUGUUGCAAACUCAACCUGGUUUAUAAUUGAGCAUCUUGCACCACAACUGUCCCACAAAGACACUCCUAACAAGACAAACAAAAUUCUACUUUGCUGCCAUCCAUUUUUUAAACAUCUAAAGUUCUAGUACACACCUGUGCUGAUGGGCACUGAUAUCCCUUGAGCUACCUUUGGGCUUUUAGUCACAGCAGAUGUUCAUAAAGUAUCUCAUAAAAAAAAAAACAAACCUUUUUGAGGUUCUGCUCAAAAACAUGACAAGAUCAUAAAAUGCUGAAUCCUUUAUUCCUCUUCUCAUUUCUAAAUGUCUGAACCUGUCUUUCACGGUGUCAAAAUUAUAAUAUUAAAAACCUGCCUCUUGCUUUCUCUUCCACUUCUUCCUUUCUCUAACUCCAUUCAUCCACUCCCAACUAUAUAUUAUAUUUUCCUCUACAUAAAUUGUUCUCCUUCCCCACCCUUCAAAGAAGCUUUUAAAGUAAGGUAUGAUUUAUAUAUCAAAGCUGUGGAAUGAAAAACACAGGGUAACUGGAACUAGAUACCAGUACCUUGAAGAGCAGCCUAGAAACACAAGCGAGAGUCUGCAGGUCCAGACAGGGAAAAGUAAGCAGGGGCAGACGUAGCAACAUCCAUCUCCAGAAGUCAGGCUGUUCUGCUGUGUCCUGUGUUGCCAUGCUGCCACCAUGAAAAGCAUGUGCUGUAAGGAGGGUGGAGAGGGAGUUUGUAACAGCCCACUGCCAUGAGUAUGGGGACUUCUAGGAGUCAGCUAUAGCAGUUUACUGCUGUCUUCCCUAUGUGCGCCACAGACAGAUCCUCAGGGAAAUGCCCCAUGUGGGUCACUGAAAAAAAUUAGGUUGCUGUAAAAGCAAAAUUUUAUCCUUUUAUUGAAGGAAGUGCACUUCAUACCCUGGACAAUGUAGAACACUGGAGCAGUAGCAAUACAGAUUAAAAUGCUAUGCACAUGCUAGAGAUGUUACUGCUAGAUGAGCAUGCCAGACUCUACCUAGGUCAGCAGAAGGGUGAAUUGAGAGAAAGACUGCAUAUCUAGAAUAUGGGACUAAGAUGACACUUUCUGCUGCAGGUGCUAAAAGAUGCUGCAUCAGAUACAACUCUGUCCUUUGAAACUUAUAAAACUGUGUAAGCAGAAGUUUCAACAUGCUUUUAAAAAUCUUCAUCUGAUAUUAAAAAUCUGAUUUUCAUUGCUAAUUACAGGCAUCAAUAGAAUAAUGCCUCACCGGAUGGAUUUCUGGCCCAGAAAGUAGUGACACUGCCACGAUCUGCUUACUUGACAGGUGGCUUGCAAAGUGUUCAAAAUACAAUUGGUACAUGCUAUGCUAGACUCCUUGGGGCUUGGAUCCCACACAGUGGCAUUUAGCUAAAUCCACAUGUAGGUGGGAUUAAAGGUUAGAAACAGAAGAAACACAUAUGGGUCCCUGGCUUCUGGGAUUAUUUAAUUUUUAAAGAAACCACAUAUUUCUAAUCCUAGCGAUUUGUAAAGAACAGCUCCAAAAUAUUACUUUUAUACAUGAGCUGGAAGAUAGCUAGGGACAGAGGGAGAAGUUAGCAAUUACAGGAACCAGAAAACACCAUUUAAGACCCCACAACUGUCACCAGAAGACACUAUGCUUUCCUGGUAUAGGGUAGGACACUAGAUGCGUCACUGGUCAGCAUUCCUUUCCUCUGGCCUUUUGGCUUCAUAGGUUAUAAGAAGGAAGGAUGAACAAGUAGUGGACAACCUCUUCAAUGUAAGAGAAUGCUGUAUUUACUUGCUUACCAUAUGCUCCUUUCCCCCAAAAAAGUCACCACUCCAAAAUUGGGGUGCAUGUCUUAAAUAAGAAAGCUGAUUUUCUUCACCUGAAUAAAAGCAUGGAGACACUGUUUUGCAAAAUGACUGCCAGCUGCUCUCUCAGCAAGCAACAGAAAGGGUGGAAGCCAGUUGCUUUCACAGCUGCUCUUAGCUCUCUGGCUGAGAGAGAAACAGACAGUCAUUUUGCAAAAGUUUCUCCACAGAAAGGCCAAUGCUAGACCAUGUCUGGAAAGACCAUGUCUUUCUCUCUACCAUUCUGCCUUCCAAAAACAAGGUAUGCAUCUCAUUUGGGGGCAAGUUGUAUGGGGAAGAAAUAUGGGAGAUUGCAGAGAUCAUUACAGAAAAAGAGCAGACAUCCUUUCUUUCACAUCUUGAUCAAGAAUGAAACAGUUUUGGUUUUUUUGCUUCAUUUUAUUCUUCACUGUGCAUCUGAAUAAGCACCCCACUGAGAUGAAGAGCUAUUAUUUAGGCUGUCUGUAACUUUGGGCACAUAUUUUUAGUACCUUAAACUUGACCUGAGUGAAUCCGUACAGCAAUCAAAAGGUCUAGAGACUUCCUCUGCUUUUUAGCAUGACAAUAUACUCACCUACAUACUAUUGGGUACUACAUGCUAACCUGGCCCAAUAGGAGCCUCUGAUAAGAAAGCCACGCAGCCUUUAAUUCAUACAAUAUUCAGCUCCUAAUAAUGCUACCCAUAUCAGACGUUUUCAUCAUAUUUCAGCUGGCCUUAAAAGCUGUAAGUGCUGUAGCUGUAAUAUUGCGACAUGUCAUGAAAUGAAUGGAUAAUAUAUGAAGAGAUCUCUGAACUGGCUCGACUCAGGUCCUGAUCUAUGAGACACUGUGCAAGCUACUUUUGGCCUCAGUCUUAUACUUGUAUCUCCUGUUCCAAUGCCUGCCUUGAGGUGCAGGAUGUCAGCUGUUGGUGUCUGAGACUUUUUAAUUUCCUAGCCUUUUGCCCUUUAGACCUGCAAAUCCCCUCCAAAGCCAGUUUGCAAUGCUAUUAUGGUUUCUGCUUCCCUCUUUCAUUUGUUUAACUUGGCUAAUUCUUCAACAGCUGAGCAGUUCACCUUAAUUCAUUUUCUGAAGUGCCUUCAGAUACAUUUUACAGAAUUGAAAGACUAUUAAUAAUAGAUGGAAAAUAAAAGGUCAGGAGAGGGGAUUUUCAUCUCCUUUAAACAUAAGGAGAGAAAUAUAAGGAGCAUUACGUAAUCUCUGAAACACAGUAUGGGGUUAGAAAGUCCCAUUUCAGAAAGAUGCUGAAGCAAUUCCUGAAACUUUGCAGUAUGCCACUUACAAAAUUAAUUAUUAACCAGAACUGUUCAUUUAGCUAUUGACCUGGGUUAAACCACAAGCUCCCACUGGAAUCUCAGCUCAGUUGUGGGUUCUCCAUUUUGAUGAAAAAUGAGCCCAGCAGAGCAGGAAUGACUUCUACCACAGACAAAAAACUAUGUCUGCCUUCCCUACUCAAGUCCCAGAGCUCAGAUCACACGGCCAGGCAGAAACCUCAUUCCCACUGAACUCUGUCUGGCUCCAGUCUGAGCACGACUUUCAGUCUAUAGGCUGACAAUGUAAAACAUGGAGGUGCUCAUUAGACCAGCACCUCCGAUUUACUAGUAUGGGGAUCCUGCCAACAUAAAGAGUCCCUUAGCCUCCACAGUUGGUGGUCUCCGAAAUAACAAAGCUGUUGGUGGUUCCUUCCUACAGAGUACAGCUGUUAAAUUAAAAAAACCCCAAAAAACCAAAAAA